AGUUAAGCUGCAAAUUACAAUGAUGAUUGGGUUUCUUCUGCAAUUCAAUCACUGAAGAAGGCAUCACCUACAAGCCUUAGAUUUGAUUGCUGAUCGGAAGGAUAAUUGGGUCAUUGUCCAUCGUAUUAUGAACUGUUCAGGCAUACACAUACCAAACAACACGAUGGGCAAACAUUUAUAGCUAAAAAAGCCAAACAAAUUCAUGAACAAGUUGAAUCGCAACGGGAGAUGUUGGCAGAAAAUGGGGAGCAGGUGGAUGACAAUCAAUUA